rnacentral:sRNA from 1 species
GUAGGCAAGAACGUGGUAGGAGACAUGGGGGGUUGUUACUUGUUUCUUCUCAAUUCUCUAUAAUUUUUACACUUUCAAAAUUUGUCUUCGUUACAGAAUGACAGAGAAGGAUGGGCCAGAGUGCGGGGCAAGCUGACAGCACAGAUAGGAAAUUACGAAAGGCCUACCUUGCGUGUUGCCAAGGGGCCAAAGGUUCUGCCUAGAAAGGCCAUAAGGAGAUGACCGGGUGCUGUGAGAACAGAAAUCCAAAUGAGGUGAGCCAGGCUGCUUCUUCCACUCGCAUUGGCAGCUGAGGCUGGAGAUGCUCUACCUUCUACAGAGCCCUUGAUGUUGCCUCUGAUUGACAGCUCCACCUGCACACCUCUGGCCCUGGAUUCCCCUUGGUAAUGUCGUGAAGCUGCAGAACUCCUCAUCCACUCCACACCAGCCCCACACCCUUUCCUGUGCAGCUGUCAAAGGGGAAGAGGG